ACCUGUGCUGAAAGAAGCGCUCGAGAGCUCGGCAGACUCCAUAGCGCUCGGGAGGAGUGAGGAGGUGGUCCAGCUGCUGGCUGAAGGUCCUCCCCUGGACUCGGAUACUGGAAGGCAGGAUAUCCGCCACCCACUGCAGCGAGGUGAGAGCUGACGCCCGGGUCGGGGAAUCCAGAGAAUCUGAAUCUGCGGGGGACCACAGGCAUGGGGAGGCACGGGUGACCCGGAGUCACCAAGGUAGGUGCAGUUUCCCAGACAGGUGGGGUCAGCAGCCUUCUGAGCUGUGAACAGCAUUGAACGCUGCGAGUUGGGCUCUAUCGCACCCCCUGGCGGCGUCCCUGGGAAGCGACCAAAACAGUCCUGGGAACUCUACGACUAGACAGUCUCACCACUGGCGAAAGGGACCGGUCCUUCCUCUACCACCAGCGUGGGCAUGGCGCCACUGCCCUGCAACAUGGACACCACCUUGUCGUGGGAGCAGUUCCUGCAAAGGAGAUGGCCCAGGAGGGCCUGCCAAGUGAGCUCUGCCCAUCAUGUAGAAGCCACCCAAUAAACCCACCAUUCACUCAGGAGUAGCCAGAACCCCAACUUUCGCAUAAGUUAAGGUCUUAUAUGGUAGAAGCCCCAGGCUUUGGGCAGCUUUGCCUGCAGAUGCCUUGGAUUGGCAUUCCUGAGCAUAGAAGGAGUUAUUCCUAUGUCACCCUAUGGCACACAACCAUAAUCCAAGCACUUGGGAUGCUGAGGCAGGAGGAUUUGCAGAAUUUAAAGCCAGGAGGAUUUGCAGAAUUUAAAGCCAGUCUAAACUAUAUAGCAAGUCCAAGUUGCCUGGGCAACUAAUCAAGACCCUCUCUCAAAGUAAAACGUUUAAAUGGGGCUGGGAGCCAGGCAUGGUAACUAACACUGCAACCCAGUGCUCAGCAGAGGCAGGUGGAUUGUCAUGACUGCAAGGCAAGUCUGGGCUACAUAGUGAGUUCCAAGUGAGCCUGGGAUACAGAGUGAGGCACUGUCUCAACUAAACUAAACUAAACUAAACUAAACUGAAACAAAACAAAAUGCUGAGGAUGUGGCGCUGAGAUUGUAUCUUGCAUUUGGUUCCCAGCAUGACAGGGAAAAAGUGGCUUUCACUGGAAGAGGGAUAGACACAGGAUGCAUAGGACAUUGGACAUAGGUCAGAAGGGGAUCGGGGCCAUUGUUAGUGUCCCAAGAGGCAAAGGUCUUGGGGGAUGGUUCGUCACCAAAUCACAAGACACCCCAGAGGCUCCUAACCUCAUGUCCAAUCCAUUGAGGAAGAGGAUCCGGUCACCUGACUUGAGGGAGGCAUUUUCAGCCGGGCUGCCUGGAAGAGAGAAAGACAGGGUAAGCCGUCAGCCGACCACCACGUGGUGGACUUGGGUGGGAGUCUCCUCCACUCAACACCCUUGUGUGAGCCAGAUAGCCGUUCUUCAGUUCACAGGUGAGAACUGACACUCGGCACCAUCUAAAUGGUUUAGAGAGUGAGAAAGCUUGCGGCCACGUCUGACUGAGUCUGAUCCCUGAAUCCUACAAAUUCUCCUCCUACCUUCACACUGAUGAGGGGAGACCCAUCUUAACCGUGGACAGAGACACACUCUAACAGGGAGCCUGGAUCGAGGCAGGAUUGCAUAAAAGAGUGAAGGCAGGUUAAGUAUUGGCCUUUACCACUCUGUUUUUUUAAAAAUUUAUUUCAUUUUCAUGUGUGUACAUGUGACAUGCAUGUGUGUGUAUGGAUGUUUUCAUUUGUGUAGGUGCGUGUGUGUAUGUGUGUGUCUGUGUGUGCGCAUGCAGAGUGGUGCAUGUAGAUGUAGAGGCCAGAGACUGAUACCAUCCUCCAUCGCUCUUCCACCUUGUUCACUGAGCCAGCAGGGUCGCUCAGUCAAAUCUGGAGUUCGUCCAGACAGUUAGCUUGCUACCCAGCUUGUUCCAGGAGUCCCAGCUCCUCCUUCCAAGGCUAGAAUUACCAGAGGUUAGCAUACCCACCUAGCAUUUUAUAUGUGUUCUAGGGACCCAAAGUCCAGCCCUUAUGUCUAAUCAACAGUGGCUCUAACCAUUGGGCAAUCUUCCCAGCCCUACUCUCUGCUUCUUAACAAUGGAGGAUGCACUGUGACUAGCAGGCAUGGAUAGCAUUGCCAGAGAGGGCUUCAUCAGGGUUUGUCACCUCAUUCCCAAUCUUAGGGAUUCAAGGUAACCUGUCUAUCCCUCACCAGGCAGGACAGAUUCGAUCCAGACCGGUCCAUGGCCUCGCAGAGUGAAGCCGAAACUCUUGUUGCCUUUAUAAACUCGAACCGUCCUGUGGGAGGAAAAAUGGAACGGGAUUGGAGGUGGGUUAUCUUCCGUCUCACCCUGAGAAUAGAGGACCAGGGCUCAGGGGAUGGACACAUCUCACGUCCUUGUCCUCCCAAAUACCCACUGCCCAGGACUCCGACCCAAGCAAGAUCAGAUGUCCCCUGCUGUCACCUGCACGCCUGUCGUGCGUACCUACGAGGACCCCCAGGGCCAGUGCGACCGCCCAGCAGCGAGGUUGCCUUCCGCGGGGGUGGCUCAUCCGGACGGCGGGGAGCGGCGCUAGCGCGCGUGGACACUAAGAGGCGCUCCGGGCGCUCCUCGCUGCGGCUCCGACGCAAACGCUGUGCGCCCUGCGCCCUCCGAGCACGGCACAGCUUGCCCAGCAGACCCUGCGACACCACCUCGUCGAAGCGCGCCCGAUGCUUUUUGGGAAUAAAGAUCCUGCAAGGCAAGGAUCGACC
rnacentral:lncRNA from 1 species